rnacentral:rRNA from 1 species
AGGAUCAUUAAUGAAUUUAGAUUGAACCAUAGGCGAAAGCCAGUGGUUCUUCUUUCAUAUCCAUAACACCUGUGCACUGUUGGAUGCUUGCAUCCACUUUUAAACUAAACAUUAUUGUAACAAAUGUAGUCUUAUUAUAACAUAAUAAAACUUUCAACAACGGAUCUCUUGGCUCUCGCAUCGAUGAAGAACGCAGCGAAAUGCGAUAAGUAAUGUGAAUUGCAGAAUUCAGUGAAUCAUCGAAUCUUUGAACGCACCUUGCGCUCCUUGGUAUUCCGAGGAGCAUGCCUGUUUGAGUGUCAUGAAACCCUCAAACCCAAGUUUUGGAUUUCGAUCCAUGCUUGAGUUUGGAUUUGGAUGUUUGCCGGUGAUGAACCGACUCAUCUUAAAAGUAUUAGCUUGGAUCUGUCUAUAUGACUGGUUUGACUUGGCAUAAUAAGUAUUUUGCUGAGGACAUCUUCGGAUGGCCAGGACCUAGACUACUGUCUGCUAACUAAACCAUCACUUUAAGUGCAUCUUUGGAUGUUACCCAUUGUGUAACUUUGACAUCUGGCCUCAAAUCAAGUAGGACUACCCGCUGAACUUAAGCAUAUCAAUAAGCGGAGGAA